UACGUAGGGCGCAAGCGUUGUCCGGAAUUACUGGGCGUAAAGCGUGCGCAGGCGGCUAUGCAAGACAGAUGUGAAAUCCCCGGGCUCAACCUGGGAACUGCAUUUGUGACUGCAUGGCUAGAGUACGGUAGAGGGGGAUGGAAUUCCGCGUGUAGCAGUGAAAUGCGUAGAUAUGCGGAGGAACACCGAUAGCGAAGGCAAUCCCCUGGACCUGUACUGACGCUCAUGCACGAAAGCGUGGGGAGCAAACAGG
rnacentral:rRNA from 1 species